rnacentral:snRNA from 1 species
AUCAUAUGUACUAAAAAUCAAUAUGACUCAGAGAAGACAUGGCCUCUACGCAAGGAUGACUCUCCAAUUCAUGAAGCAGUCCAUAUUCUU